CAUGGCUCUCCAUUGUGAGAACCAAAGACAAGGAAGUGGUCCUGAAGUGUGAGGCUGAAGGGUUAGUCUAUAAGCCUGAGUUGGUGUUGCUGAACAGUAAGGGAACCAUCCUCCCUGCUGAUGAACCUACAGAGAGACCCAUGGACUCUGAGGGCUUAUACACAGUGACACGCUAUUUCACUGUCAAGAAGACUGCCACCCAUGUGUUCACCUGUCAAGUUCAACAGCUGGAGAUCAAACACAUGAGGGAGACACAGAUUCAUGUUCCAGACAAAAUGUUUCAUGAGGAUGCAGAGGACUUGGGAUGGAAAAUUGGAUUUGGAAUUGGAUGUGUUGUAGGUGGUGUUAUAGGGGGUGUUGUGGUGGGUUUUGUAGUUUUUCUGUUCACGCGGAAAAACAACCCCAACAACGCCCUAAAACGGCACCCAGAAGAAAAAGCGAGAGAAACCAAUGGCGGGUAUGCAGCGGGUUGUAGCGAGAUUGCCCUCCUCCAGGUUCCUGUUCUCGAUAACUUCAAUGUAAAUGGCCAUCCUAAUGGUGUGUGUGUGUCACAACCUGGAGAACUGGACAGCCAACAUACCCUUGAUUGUUUUCACCAGCCACCCUCGGCGAUGUAAUGAGAGAGACACUUUUAUUACCUGCAGUGAAGUCUCUCAACAUUUACCUUACAAGACAGUCGUGAAGAGUUAUGGUAUAGCAACUGCUUGGCAUCCGACCGCAAGGCGCUACACAAGGUAGUGCGUACGGCCCAGUACACCACUGGGGCCAAGCUUCCUGCCAUCCAGGAUCUCUAUACCAGGCGGUGUCGGAGGAAGGCCCUAAAAAUUUCAAGACUCCAACCACCCAAGUCAUGGAAUAUUCUCUCUGCUACCGCACGGCAAGUGGUACCGGCGCGCCAAGUCUAGGUCCAAGAGGCCUCUAAAACAGCUUCUACCCCCAAAUCAAAAGACUAAUCCCAGUAGGAAUAGUACCAGGUUUCCUCCAGACACAUCGCUUGGCAUUCAGGCCAAAGAGUUCAAUCUUGGUUUCAUCAGACCAGAGAAUCUUGUUUCUCAUGGUCUAAGAGUCUUUAGGUGCCUUUUGGAAAACUGCAAGCAGGCCGUCGUUCCUUUUUACUGAGGAGUGGCUUUCGUCUGGCCACUC